rnacentral:rRNA from 1 species
UACGUAGGGUGCAAGCGUUGUCCGGAAUUAUUGGGCGUAAAGAGCUCGUAGGCGGUCUGUCGCGUCUGCUGUGAAAACUCGGGGCUUAACCCCGGGCCUGCAGUGGGUACGGGCAGACUAGAGUGCGGUAGGGGAGACUGGAAUUCCUGGUGUAGCGGUGAAAUGCGCAGAUAUCAGGAGGAACACCGGUGGCGAAGGCGGGUCUCUGGGACGUGACUGACGCUGAGACGCGAAAGCGUGGGGAGCAAACAGG